rnacentral:piRNA from 1 species
UCCUAAACUCUUAAAGUGGUGAAAUGGCA